ACCUGACGACGCAACGCCGCGUGGAGGAUGAAGACCUUCGGGUCGUAAACUCCUUUCGAUCGAGACGAACGGCCUCCGGGUGAACAAUCCGGAGGAGUGACGGUACCGAGAGAAGAAGCCCCGGCUAACUCCGUGCCAGCAGCCGCGGUAAUACGGGGGGGCAAGCGUUGUUCGGAAUUACUGGGCGUAAAGGGCUCGUAGGCGGCCAACUAAGUCGGACGUGAAAUCCCUCGGCUUAACCGGGGAACUGCGUCUGAUACUGGAUGGCUCGAGUUCGGGAGAGGGAUGCGGAAUUCCAGGUGUAGCGGUGAAAUGCGUAGAUAUCUGGAGGAACACCGGUGGCGAAGGCGGCAUCCUGGACCGACACUGACGCUGAGGAGCGAAAGCCAGGGGAGCAAACGGGAUUAGAUACCCCGGUAGUCCUGGCCCUAAACGAUGAAUGCUUGGUGUGGCGGGUAUCGAUCCCUGCCGUGCCGAAGCUAACGCAUUAAGCAUUCCGCCUGGGGAGUACGGUCGCAAGGCUG
rnacentral:rRNA from 1 species